rnacentral:snRNA from 1 species
AUCGCUUCUCGGCCUUUUGGCUCAGAUCAAGUGUAGUAUCUGUUCUUAUCAGUUUAAUAUCUGAUACGUCCCCCAUCGGGGGACCUACAUAUUAAAUGGAUUUUUCGAACAGGGAGUCGGAAAUGGGGCUUGCUCCGUCCGCUCCACGCAUCGACCCGGUAUUGCAGUACCUCCGGGAACGGUGCAACACUU